GUCGCUGACCUUCCAGGGCGUGCACGCCCGAGCCCUUUCACACCAAUCCAUCUCACCCUUUUGUGCAUCACCGCGUGGGUCCCCCCCUUUGCCGGGGAGGGCUUGCGUUUUCACAUAAAACUUGACACAAUGCAGAAUGUUUUCUUUUUUUGCGAUUAUACGCAAUCAAUACAACUUUCAACAACGGAUCUCUUGGCUCUCGCAUCGAUGAAGAACGCAGCGAAAUGCGAUACGUAAUGUGAAUUGCAGAAUUCAGUGAAUCAUCGAAUCUUUGAACGCACCUUGCGCCCCUUGGCAUUCCGAGGGGCACACCCGUUUGAGUGUCGUGAAAUUCUCAAAACCCCUUUUCUUUGAACCUUUCGGGGUUGGGAAAAGGAUUUUUGGACUUGGAGGUUCAAUGCUCGCCUUUCACUUUCGAAAGCGAGCUCCUCUAAAAUGAAUCAGUGGGGUCCGCUUUGCCGAUCCUUGACGUGAUAAGAUGUUUCUACGUUUUGGAUUUAGGCACUGCCCUUUGGAUUCCUGCUUCUAACCGUCUCACGGACAACGAUGGUGCUCCGGUCACCGCCGUUUAUAUAUCGGCGGGAGGCUGGACCCACAUAAAAAAACCUUGACCUCAAAUCGGGUGAGACUACCCGCUGAACUUAAGCAUAUCAAUAA
rnacentral:rRNA from 1 species